AUGACCCCACACCCCUCAAGGGUGCAGUGGAGGGACAUGGUGGAGCCCAUCCUGCCUCAGCUUUGCCUCUGCAUCCUCCUUCAGGUGGCAGAGGCUCCCGGCUGGAGUGAACUGCCACUCGGCCUCAUCCUACAGAGCGUCAAUGCCGGACCUGCCCAGCUGCCCCACUUAUCCUACAGAGAGAAACCAGACAGGGCUCGGGCCUGCUUCCUCCUGCUCUUUCCUACAGACGUUUGCUGCUCCCUGGUCUCACCUGGAGAUUCUGCCUUGGCCCGGUUAAUAGCACUUUGCCACACUCAUCUGCAUGCGUGGACGAGGAAACACACUCAGGGAGUGACCGCCCUCACAGUCACACAGCCUCUGCGAUGCACUGACGGACCACCCACCCACGUCCGGAGGAGCAGGGAGGUCCCCACCGAGUCCGCCCAGGGCACACACAGGUCACAGGUGGCACUGCUGAAGCCCAGAUUAAGGUUCACCCUGUUCAGUCCCACGACUGGGAAGGCUGAGAUGAGGUCCCAGCCCGGAUGCACAGAAAGAGCCUCUAGGGACCUCUUCCUGCCUCCACCCUGCCUGGUGCACCCACCGCAGCCUUGCAGGCACAGUUGCAGACACCCAGGCAGGAACGGUGGCAUGCUCCACCCAGCUCUCAGCCCUGCUGUGGAAGAAGAGAAAGAACUGUCCCUUGGGGUGAAGUGACCCCAUAGGCCACCAGCCCAGCCUGGCUGUGCUGUCCACCAAGCCAGAGACCCACAGGGCAAUGGGCACCGUGUGGCACUGAGCUCACUCUGGAUUAUUCAUGAAGGCACCGAAGCUUCUGACAGUCACUGGCAAUUCCCAGAUCAAGUUUUUCUCCUGCCCUGCAAGGGCCCUAUCGCUAUCCCUGGGGCUGGACAGAUUCCCCAUCUAGCCUUUCUCGCCUGCGUGAGGGGUACUUGGAGGCCACUUGGAAUUUACCAGCUGGUCAGGUUUCCCCUACUCACUGUGUCUGGGGAGGGAGAUGGCUGUUGGGUGACUGUCUAGUGCUCCCUGGGACCUCGAAGGUGGUGUCUCUGCUUUUCCCACCCCUCCUGCUCCAGCCCCUCCGAUCUCCCAGGCACAACAUGGCCACAUGUGUCCCCUCAAGUGCCCGUGCCCUGUGUCACUCCACACUGCUCAUAGCUACCUCGGCACGGCAACACCCUGGCAGAUAGCACAGACACCUUAAAAUAGUAGGAAGAGGCACUUCCGGAAUUAACCAGAUUAUUACAAUUGGGGUCGCCCCAUGGUCUCUCACUGGUGUGACUGUGCUUCAUGCAUUUUAACAAAAAGGCCACAAGUGUUUACUAUACACAAUUUAGGGAGUUUGGACAUACACACCCAGGAAGCCAUGCGAAUAUGCCAUAGAGUCACUUUUUAUUUUACUUUAUUUUUAUUUGCUCACGCUUUGUAUCAGUCCACAUUUGUAGCACAUAAUGAUUGCAUUCAUGGUGGGGAGUUGGAACAGGCACAUAACACAUUUUCAUUCUUUUUCAUCCUAUUCCCCUCUCCUCCAUCCCUGUCUCCCUCAAAAAUCCAGC
ensembl:lincRNA